ACUUUACAAGGUCGUGGAUUAUUGUAUAAUUUGCGACCUUAACUUGCGAGAGCAAGCUGAUGGUGCUUAGCCUAUCUAAGCCCCGUCCAAGACCGUAGGUGAAUAAGUUUUCUUAUUCUUAAUAAAAACCUACGUAGAUGGUGAACAGACAGAAUUUUCUGCUUCUGGACACCUUAGGCUCAGAAGAUUGCUACUUGCGAUGCAAGCGGUGAGUUUUUUGAGGUUUUUUGUAAAUUCCACUUCGGUGGAGUGUAUCAGGAGCUAAAACCA
rnacentral:ncRNA from 1 species